rnacentral:rRNA from 2 species
GGACCAAUAUGUCGGUCGUGCUUCGGUACGUACUGUCAUAGUUGGUUUCUCCCUUCUGAAGAACCUUGAUGUCAUUAAUUUGGUGUCUUGGGGAAUCAGGACUGUUACUUUGAAAUUAGAGUGUUUAAAGCAGGCUCGCGCUUGAAUACAUUAGCAUGGAAUAAUGAAAUAGGACGUUUGAUUCUAUUUUGUUGGUUUCUAGGAUCGACGUAAUGAUUAAUAGGGAUAGUUGGG